UACGUAGGAGGCGAGCGUUGUCCGGAGUUACUGGGCGUAAAGGGUGCGCAGGCGGCGGUUCGCGUGGAUAGAUGAAAUCUCCUGGCUUACCUGGGAGGAUGGUAUCCAGACGGGAUCGCUUGAGGGUCGGAGAGGGGCGUGGAAUUCCGGGUGUAGUGGUGAAAUGCGUAGAGAUCCGGAGGAACCCCAGAGGCGAAGGCGGCGCCCUGGCUCGCAACGUGACGCUCAGACACGACAGCAUGGGGAGCGGAAACGGG
rnacentral:rRNA from 1 species